AACGAACGCUGGCGGCGUGCCUAACACAUGCAAGUCGAGCGCGAAAGUCCCUUCGGGGGCGAGUAGAGCGGCGGACGGGUGAGUAAUACAUGGAUAAUCUGCCCUCGAGAUCGGGAUAACCCUGCGAAAGUGGGGCUAAUACCGAAUAAGACCACACAACACAAGUUGUGUGGUAAAAGGUGGCUUGAAUUUAUUCUGGCUAUCACUUGAGGAUGAGUCCAUGGCCUAUCAGCUUGUUGGUGGGGUAAUGGCCUACCAAGGCUAUGACAGGUAGCUGGUCUGAGAGGACGACCAGCCACACUGGGACUGAGACACGGCCCAGACUCCUACGGGAGGCAGCAGUGGGGAAUAUUGGGCAAUGGGCGAAAGCCUGACCCAGCGACGCCGCGUGGGUGAUGAAGGCCUUCGGGUUGUAAAGCCCUUUCGUGCGGAAAGAACAGUCCUGUGGCGAAUACUCGCAGGAUUUGACGGUACCGCAGGAAGAAGCACCGGCUAACUCCG
rnacentral:rRNA from 1 species